GGGUCAAUCGGAAUCUCAAUGUCUCUGUCAUGUGA
rnacentral:sRNA from 1 species